AACGAACGCUGGCGGCAGGCCUAACACAUGCAAGUCGAACGCCCCGCAAGGGGAGUGGCGCACGGGUGAGUAACGCGUGGGAAUAUGCCCUUCGGUUCGGAAUAACGCAGGGAAACUUGUGCUAAUACCGGAUACGAUCUACGGAUGAAAGAUUUAUCGCCGAGGAAGUAGCCCGCGUAGGAUUAGCUAGUUGGUGAGGUAAUGGCUCACCAAGGCGACGAUCCUUAGCUGGUCUGAGAGGAUGAUCAGCCACACUGGGACUGAGACACGGCCCAGACUCCUACGGGAGGCAGCAGUGGGGAAUAUUGGACAAUGGGCGAAAGCCUGAUCCAGCCAUGCCGCGUGAGUGAUGAAGGCCUUAGGGUUGUAAAGCUCUUUCGCCAGGGAAGAUAACGACGGUACCUGGAAAAGAAGCCUCGGCUAACUCCGUGCCAGCAGCCGCCGUAA
rnacentral:rRNA from 1 species